CCUACGGGUGGCAGCAGUGGGUGAUAUUGCACAAUGGGGGAAACCCUGAUGCAGCGACGCCGCGUGUGGGAAGACGGUCCUCUGGAUUGUAAACCACUGUCCCCAGGGACGAAGAUGACGUUACCUGGGGAGGAAGCUCCGGCUAACUACGUGCCAGCAGCCGCGGUAAGACGUAGGGAUCGAGCGUUGUCCGGAAUUACUGGGUGAAAAGGGAGCGUAGGCGGGACUGCAAGUUGGGUGUCAAAUCUACCGGCUCAACCGGUAGCCGCACUCAAAACUGCAGUUCUUGAGUGAAGUAGAGGCAGGCGGAAUUCCUAGUGUAGCGGUGAAAUGCGUAGAUAUUAGGAGGAACACCAGUGGCGAAGGCGGCCUGCUGGGCUUUUACUGACGCUGAGGCUCGAAAGUGUGGGGAGCAAACAGGAUUAGAUACCCCAGUAGUC
rnacentral:rRNA from 1 species